UUAUCAUUAUGUCUCAUUUUCAGAAACAACUCCCCUUCUCUCACAGUUAUGAAGCAAAAAACUCUGUUAGAGCAUAAGCAUUUUCCUCCUCCAAACUUAUUGAACGUUCUUCCUCCAUCUUCGUAAGCUGUAGUUGUGCCGUUGUGCUCUUCUUUUGAGAUCUCUUGUUGGGUUAGCAUUUUUCAAGGGGAUGCUGAUGCAAAUGAGCAUGAUGGCUACACUUGGAAUCAACAAAGAGUUGCAUUACCUAAACAAAGAAGACCUUUUAUUGCGUUGGCUUUUGGUCGAGCAACGUAACACAAAAUCUGGGCUAGAUGUUCUUGAGAAUGAAGGCAGGUGGGAGCUAAGCAAAUUUUCUCAAAUCAGUAAAGAUGAUGAAGAGGAUGAAGAUGAUGAGGAGUACUAAAUGGAGGAAGAUGAGACAAAGUAAACCAAAAGACAACCGAGUAUUUUGUUAGCUUCCAUAAAAUCAGUUUGCAUUGUAUUUUCAGUGCCAAACAUGUGCUUCCUUACAGAUUUUGUGUUAGA